AAACCGGGGCUAAUACCGGAUAAUUCUUUUCCUCACAUGAGGGAAAGCUGAAAGAUGGUUUCGGCUAUCACUUACAGAUGGGCCCGCGGCGCAUUAGCUAGUUGGUGAGGUAACGGCUCACCAAGGCAACGAUGCGUAGCCGACCUGAGAGGGUGAUCGGCCACACUGGGACUGAGACACGGCCCAGACUCCUACGGGAGGCAGCAGUAGGGAAUCUUCCGCAAUGGACGAAAGUCUGACGGAGCAACGCCGCGUGAGUGAUGAAGGCUUUCGGAUCGUAAAACUCUGUUGUUAGGGAAGAACAAGUACCGGAGUAACUGCCGGUACCUUGACGGUACCUAACCAGAAAGCCACGGCUAACUACGUGCCAGCAGCCGCGGUAAUACGUAGGUGGCAAGCGUUGUCCGGAAUUAUUGGGCGUAAAGCGCGCGCAGGCGGUUCCUUAAGUCUGAUGUGAAAGCCCCCGGCUCAACCGGGGAGGGUCAUUGGAAACUGGGGAACUUGAGUGCAGAAGAGAAGAGUGGAAUUCCACGUGUAGCGGUGAAAUGCGUAGAGAUGUGGAGGAACACCAGUGGCGAAGGCGACUCUUUGGUCUGUAACUGACGCUGAGGCGCGAAAGCGUGGGGAGCAAACAGGAUUAGAUACCCCUGGUAGUCCACGCCGUAAACGAUGAGUGCUAAGUGUUAGAGGGUUUCCGCCCUUUAGUGCUGCAGCAAACGCAUUAAGCACUCCGCCUGGGGAGUACGGCCGCAAGGCUGAAACUCAAAGGAAUUGACGG
rnacentral:rRNA from 1 species